rnacentral:rRNA from 1 species
CCUACGGGAGGCAGCAGUGGGGAAUAUUGCUCAAUGGGGGAAACCCUGAAGCAGCAACGCCGCGUGGGUGAUGAAGGUUUUAGGUUUGUAAACCUCUUUUAUCAGGGAAGAUAAUGACGGUACCUGACUAAUAAGCCCCGGCUAACUACGUGCCAGCAGCCGCGGUAAUACGUAGGGUGCAAGCGUUACCCGGAGUCACUGGGCGUAAAGGGUGCGCAGACGGGUUUGGAAGUCAGGAGUGAAAGCCUGUAGCCUAACCCCAGAACUGCAGUGGAAACUGUGAAGCGAGAGUGCAGGAGAGGUAAGCGGAAUUCUUGGUGUAGCGGUGAAAUGCUUAGAUAUGAAGAAGAAUACCGAUUGCGAAGGCAGCUUGCUGGA